AGGACGAACGCUGGCGGCGUGCUUAACACAUGCAAGUCGAGCGCGCUCCAUUCGGUAGCAAUACUGAUGAAGAGCGAGUGGCGAACGGGUGAGUACCACGUGAGCAACCUGCCCCGAAGACCGGGACAACACCGGGAAACCGGUGCUAAUACCGGAUACCCUUGUCGGACCGCAUGAUCCGACAAGGAAAUGAAUUUUGCUUCGGGAGGGCUCGCGGCCUAUCAGCUUGUUGGUGGGUAACGGCCUACCAAGGCAUCGACGGGUAGCUGGUCUGAGAGGACGAUCAGCCACACUGGGACUGAGACACGGCCCAGACUCCUACGGGAGGCAGCAGUGGGGAAUCUUGCGCAAUGGGCGAAAGCCUGACGCAGCAACGCCGCGUGGAGGACGAAGGCUUUCUGAGUUGUAAACUCCUUUCAGCAGGGACGAUAGUGACGGUACCUGCAGAAGAAGCACCGGCCAACUACGUGCCAGCAGCCGCGGUAAU
rnacentral:rRNA from 1 species